CUUGAUUAUUAAAAAAAAAGACUGCCGCAACCGCAAUCCCUAGUCCUCCCCCUUCCUCCUCUCUCGUACCACACUCUCACGAGCGCCGCCUCCGCCGCCGCGGCAUAUCCAGCCUCCUGCGCCGACCUCCCAAGUGUCUACGCUGGAUCCGUCGACCCGAAGCACUUAUUCACGUGACGUGUUACAGAAUAUAAACUAGAAGUGUGUUGCCAUGGCUCAGGAUGCUGUCGCUCUUAAUGGACUGAAUUACGAGAGUCAUAUGCAGUUUAGGAGGUCCGUCGUACCGAUUCUUAUAUAUCGUCGUCAACAGAAAGAGGAACAGGAACAUGAAGGAGAAGAGGAACAGGAACCAGAGCCGGAACCAGAACCGGAACAGGCAAAUCCAAAUGACCCAAUUUCUGUUGUUCCGGGCAUAGUCACUGUCGCUGGUGAGACAUUUUGCCACAUCAUAGCAAAUAAGAGAUUGCUUUUUACCCGUCGUCGAGGCAGGUAUAGAUUUGAAAUUGCUUUCCCCAACAUGAACUUAGACCUUGACAACCUCAAUGUGGAAAGACAUGGCUUGUUGGCUGCUUUCUACUGCCCUGUUCCUGCUGGAAUUGUAGAUGCCGUGCAUUUCAGCAAUCAAACUGCACAGAACCAAAAACUUAAGAUGUAUGGAUAUCAGAUUAGUGCAUCAGGACAAGUACAAAGGGAUCUAAUAAUGGCUAUCUGACUCACAUAGGGAACCGUGUGGGGCAAGAAUACAUCGGACAUGAUUGUACUCCUUCAAAGUUAUCGCUAAGUGGGUCACCCAUUUUUAAUGAGGAAAGACAGCUCGUUGGUAUAUCAUACGCGGAUUUUGGUAUAACCAAGGCCUUGAAUGUGGAGAAUAUAGCUUCCAUGCUUUCAGAGUUUUAUGAUGGAAUGGAGAACUGGCCUAUGUCAGAUAUCUUACAACGUAUCAGAGAUGUUGGUGAACAUCAAUUUGUUCCGCCUGCGGAUCAUAUGACUUGAUGGGCCUUAGUGUGAACUUGAAGGAAGGAAGUUAGAACAUUGGUUUUGUUUUCGUUGUUUACUCGGUUUGUUACCUAGCUUUAGCUUCUCAUUGACUGUUCCAAGUAGUCUACAUGUGCAAACACUGUAUGUGCCAUUUGGUUGGUGGUGUUUCCCUGCACGCAACAGAACAUUCUCUUCAGUCUGUAACUCUGUGUGCCUGUUGUGAUCCAAUCUGACGAAGUAGCUUACAUUUGAGAUCCAGUCUGAUGAGUAGUGUGACAAUGCGAUGUCUUGUUAUUGUGAACUGAGAUUAUCCAAAUCCAAUCAAGUUUUGAUGUGAUCCA